AAAGCGUUUUCGGCCUUAUGGCUAAGACCAAAGUGUAUUAUCUGUUCUUAUCAGCUUAACAUCGGAUAGAUCCUCCAUCGGAGGAAAACAAAUGUUAAACUUAUUUUUGAAAAUGGACGGGGUGUUUUAGGGGCUUGCUCCACCUCUUUUACUUUAUUAUAAUAUACAAGUAUAUAUUAAUGACAUAUACAUUU